GAUCCUGGCUCAGGAUGAACGCUGGCGGCGUGCCUGAUACAUGCAAGUCGAACGCGAGCACUUGUGCUCGAGUGGCGAACGGGUGAGUAAUACAUAAGUAACCUGCCCUAGACAGAGGGAUAACUAUUGGAAACGAUAGCUAAGACCGCAUAGGUACGGAUACUGCAUGGUGACCGUAUUAAAAGUGCCUCAAAGCACUGGUAGAGGAUGGACUUAUGGCGCAUUAG
rnacentral:rRNA from 1 species